AAGGAAGGCAGCAGGCGCGAAAAUUACCCAAUACUAAUACAGUGAGGUAGUAACAAUAAAUAACACAGCCCAGCAUUUCAUGUUGGGCUUUUGGAAUGAGAACAAUUUAAAUCCAUUAUCGAGGAUCAAUUGGAGGGCAAGUCUGGUGCCAGCAGCCGCGGUAAUUCCAGCUCCAAUAGCGUAUAUUAAAGUUGCUGCAGUUAAAAAGCUCGUAGUUGGAUUUCUAGCGAGGCACGAGAAUAUCCACCUAUGGUGAAUACUUCUCUCGCCUUGCUCUUCUUUAGUUGAUGUCUCUGGCAUUAAGUUGUCGGAGUCCUGAGACUAAUCGUUUACUGUGAGAAAAUUAGAGUGUUCAAAGCAGGCUUAUGCCGUUGAAUAUAUUAGCAUGGAAUAAUAAGAUAGGACUUCGGUACUAUUUUGUUGGUUUGCGUACUGAUGUAAUGAUAAAUAGGGACUGGCGUGGGUAUUCGUAUUAUGAUGUCAGAAGUGAAAUUCUUAGAUUAUCGUGAGACGAACGACUGCGAAAGCAUUUACCAAGGAUGUUUUCAUUAAUCAAGAACGAAAGUAUGGGGAUCGAAGAUGAUUAGAUACCAUCGUAGUCUAUACCAUAAACUAUGCCGACUCAGGGUGGUCUGUCGAUUUAACGAUAGACUGAACUGUAGGAGAAACAAAGUCUUUGGGUUCCGGGGGGAGUAUGGUCGCAAGGCUGAAACUUAAA
rnacentral:rRNA from 1 species